rnacentral:rRNA from 1 species
UACUAUGGUGGCGACCGGCGCACGGGUGCGUAACGCGUAUGCAACCUACCUUUAACAGGGGGAUAACACUGAGAAAUUGGUACUAAUUCCCCAUAACAUUCGAGAAGGCAUCUUCUUGGGUUAAAAACUCCGGUGGUUAAAGAUGGGCAUGCGUUGUAUUAGCUAGUUGGUGAGGUAACGGCUCACCAAGGCAACGACACAUAGGGGGACUGAGAGGUUAACCCCCCACAUUGGUACUGAGACACGGACCAA